rnacentral:rRNA from 1 species
UGCAGUCGAACGGUGAUAGCAAUAUCAUAGUGGCGCACGGGUGCGUAACACGUAUGCAACCUACCUAUUAUUGGGGGAUAGCCUUUGGAAACGGAGAUUAAUACCGCAUAAUACGAUUGACUGGCAUCGGUUGAUUGUUAAAGCUUCGGCGAUAAUAGAUGGGCAUGCGUCCAAUUAGUUAGUUGGUUAGGUAACGGCUGACCAAGACGAUGAUUGGUAGGGGAUCUGAGAGGAUAAUCCCCCACACUGGCACUGAGAUACGGGCCAGACUCCUACGGGAGGCAGCAGUAGGGAAUAUUGGGCAAUGGGCGGAAGCCUGACCCAGCCAUGCCGCGUGCAGGAAGAAGGCGUUAUGCGUUGUAAACUGCUUUUUUAUAGGAAGAAGGAUCCCUUGCGAGGGAAGGUGACGGUACUAUAAGAAUAAGCACCGGCUAACUCCGUGCCAGCAGCCGCGGUAAUACGGAGGGUGCAAGCGUUGUCCGGAUUUAUUGGGUUUAAAGGGUGCGUAGGCGGUUUAUUAAGUCAGUGGUGAAAGACGGUCGCUCAACGAUUGCAGUGCCAUUGAUACUGGUAGACUUGAGUGAGAUUGAGGUAGCUGGAAUGGAUAGUGUAGCGGUGAAAUGCAUAGAUAUUAUCCAGAACACCGAUUGCGAAGGCAGGUUACUAAGUCUUAACUGACGCUG